UACAGAGGGGGCAAGCGUUGUUCGGAAUUACUGGGCGUAAAGGGCGCGUAGGCGGCCUGCUAAGUCGAACGUGAAAUCCCGGAGCUCAACUUCGGAACUGCCUUUGAUACUGGCAAUCUCGAGUCCGGAAGAGGUUAGUGGAAUUCCCAGUGUAGAGGUGAAAUUCGUAGAUAUUGGGAAGAACACCAGUGGCGAAGGCGGCUAACUGGUCCGGUACUGACGCUGAGGUGCGAAAGCGUGGGGAGCAAACAGG
rnacentral:rRNA from 1 species